AUUAGUGGCGAACGGGUGAGUAAUACGUGAGUAACCUACCUUUAACUCUGGGGUAAGCCUGGGAAACUGGGUCUAAUACCGGAUACGACCAAUCUCCGCAUGGGGUGUUGGUGGAAAGCGUUAUGUAGUGGUUAUAGAUGGGCUCACGGCCUAUCAGCUUGUUGGUGAGGUAACGGCUCACCAAGGCGACGACGGGUAGCCGGCCUGAGAGGGUGACCGGCCACACUGGGACUGAGACACGGCCCAG
rnacentral:rRNA from 1 species